AUUGAACGCUGGCGGCAGGCUUAACACAUGCAAGUCGAACGAUGAAGGUAUAGCUUGCUAUAUCGGAUUAGUGGCGGACGGGUGAGUAACACUUAGGAAUCUACCUUUUAGCGGGGGAUAGCUCGGGGAAACUCGAAUUAAUACCGCAUAAUUUCUACGGAAUAAAGAGGGCUUUUAGCUCUCACUAGAAGAUGAGCCUAAGUAAGAUUAGCUAGUUGGUGGGGUAAAAGCCUACCAAGGCGACGAUCUUUAGCUGGUCUGAGAGGAUGAUCAGCCACACUGGGACUGAGACACGGCCCAGACUCCUACGGGAGGCAGCAGUGGGGAAUAUUGGACAAUGGGGGGAACCCUGAUCCAGCCAUGCCGCGUGUGUGAAGAAGGCCUUUUGGUUGUAAAGCACUUUAAGCAGUGAAGAAGACCUAUUGGUUAAUACCCAAUAGCGAUGACAUUAACUGCAGAAUAAGCACCGGCUAACUCUGUGCCAGCAGCCGCGGUAAUACAGAGGGUGCAAGCGUUAAUCGGAAUUACUGGGCGUAAAGCGAGCGUAGGUGGUUAAAUAAGUCAGAUGUGAAAGCCCUGGGCUCAACCUAGGAACGGCAUCUGAAACUAUUUAACUAGAGUAGGUGAGAGGGAAGUAGAAUUUCAGGUGUAGCGGUGAGAUGCGUAGAGAUCUGAAGGAAUACCGAUGGCGAAGGCAGCUUCCUGGCAUCAUACUGACACUGAGGCUCGAAAGCGUGGGUAGCAAACAGG
rnacentral:rRNA from 1 species